AUGACUCAAGAACUCAUUACAUUUUUGCAGCACUGCAGCUUUUCAAGCUUUCUAAACUGUACCUGCUGUAAGGCUGAGGUGAGACCAGGAUCUGUAAAAUCCCUGACUCUCCGUGUCUUCCUGAGGCUGAAGCCAUGUUUGCUGUCAAUGACGACAUGGUGGAAGAUGCUGAACACUGAAAACUUUGGGUUUUUCCCUGAACCCCAAGACUCUCUCUGCAGCUGUGCCCUGUCUCUCUCUUAAAAGAGUUUCUGGGUUUACAAAAGUUUUUAUAUUUUGCAAUAUUUAUCUAUAACUCAAUUAAAAAGAAUCAUACUGUAUCAAUGUGGUGUCAAUUACUUUGUUUGAGUUGGUUAAUUAAAGCAAAUUAUUGAUAAGGGGUUUGAGCAUCCCUUAGUUGGAGCUGGCAGCUCUUAUUUAAUUUCUCUUCAUUCCUUUAAUUUCUUUCAAUUAUUUCUUAGGCAAGUACUGCAAUUAGGAUAUACAGUAAGGACAAGAGCAUUUCUGCCCUGCUGGAUUGGGAAAUCCAAGCCCAAUUCCUUGGAGAGAUUGAGGGGCUGGGGAUCUGUGUCUCAAGCUGGGUUUUGACAGUGGAAUUUGGUGAGGAAGGAAGAGGAGAGAUCCCACAGAAAGUGGCUCAGGCCAGUUCUGCUGGCUUUGGGUGCUCCUACCCCCGAGAAAAUCAUCCUGGUUAAAGGGAACUUGAAGAAGCCGGGGGCUGUGCCAGGGGGAUGUGCUGGGA
rnacentral:lncRNA from 1 species